CAGAGGGUGCAAGCGUUGUCCGGAAUCACUGGGCGUAAAGGGCGCGUAGGCGGCUCAUGAAGGCUGUGGUGAAAGUCCGGGGCUCAACCUCGGAUCGGCCGUGGCGACUCGUGGGCUGGAGCACUGUAGAGGCGGGUGGAAUUCCGGGUGUAGCGGUGGAAUGCGUAGAGAUCCGGAAGAACACCAGUGGCGAAGGCGGCCCGCUGGGCAGUGGCUGACGCUGAGGCGCGACAGCGUGGGGAGCGAACAGG
rnacentral:rRNA from 1 species